UACGUAGGAUGCAAGCGUUGUCCGGAAUCAUUGGGCGUAAAGCGAACGUAGGCGGUUUCUUAAGUCUGUGCUUAAAGACCGGGGCUCAACCCCGGGAGUGGCAUGGAUACUGGGAGACUGGAGGACGUCAGAGGAAAGUGGAAUUCCUAGUGUAGCGGUGAAAUGCGCAGAUAUCAGGAGGAACACCAAUGGCGAAGGCAGAUCUCUGGGCCGUAACUGACGCUGAGGAGCGAAAGCAUGGGGAGCGAACAGG
rnacentral:rRNA from 1 species